AUGGCGCCAUCACCUCGGCCGUACACCUCUCUGCUGUUGCCAUCUCUCCUCCUGCUCCUCCUCGUCUCCUCCAGCGCAGCGAGAGUCGCAAGAAACCAGGCUGCCCAGGACGACCACGGAGAGGUGGACGCCGACGGCGAGGUGGCGGCGAGCUUCUUCAGAGCGGAGGCGGGGGAUGAAGGUUGCGGCGGUGGCGCCAAAGGGGGAGAUGGAGACGAUGAUGAGUGCUUGAUGAGGAGGACGCUGGUGGCGCACACCGACUACAUCUACACCCAGGGAGGAAACCACAACUAG
rnacentral:rRNA from 1 species